AUUGAACGCUGGCGGCAGGCCUAACACAUGCAAGUCGAACGAGUGGCGGACGGGUGAGUAAUGUCUGGGAAACUGCCCGAUGGAGGGGGAUAACUACUGGACACGGUAGCUAAUACCGCAUACCAUCGGAUGUGCCCAGAUGGGAUUAGCUGGUAGGGGGGGUAACGGCUCACCUAGGCGACGAUCCCUAGCUGGUCUGAGAGGCUGACCAGCCACACGGGAACGGAGAAACGGUCCAGACUCCUACGGGGGGCAGCAGUGGGGAAGAGUGCACAAUGGGCGCAAGCCUGAUGCAGCCAUGCCGCGUGUAUGAAGAAGGCCUUCGGGUGGUAAAGUACUUUCAGCGGGGAGGCGUGACCCGCAGAAGAAGCACCGGCUAACUCCGUGCCAGCAGCCGCGGUAAUAC
rnacentral:rRNA from 1 species